CAAGAAUAAAGGACUUACAUGGAAAGAUCCUUGAAAAUCUCAAGCAACUCUUAUGAAGAAACCAUAUUUUUCUACAGAAAUUAGAGUCUUGUGCUUGUUGCCAGGCUGGAGUACAGUGGUGC